UUUGGAUCUCGCUAUUCGCUUCUCUCUUCUUCGAAGCCUCGAAUCUCUCUCCAUUUGGCGAGCGAGAGAGAAGGCAUCCGAGCAGCACCGAAGGAUUUAAUCUUUGCUUGUAUCUCCGAGUGUCCUUUUCUGGUUGAUCGCCCUCUCAGUCACUAAGAAUUCUACAAUAUAAAUUGGUUCAAGAGAAGUGGGAGAAAUUGCACAUUCUCUACAAGGUGCCCACCAUUUCAUCUUUGGUGACUUCUGGUUGUGGUGAGAUGAGUUCAUCACUUGGAGGUUUGCACUUUCAUAGAU